CUAAGUCAUUUAUUCUUCGUCUACCAAAUUAAUUGUUACCCAGCUAUAUUCCGUAGCUGAACUCGAACUUUGCUUUUCCUUCCCACUUUUUCACAGUUCAAUCGAGCACAAACCCAGAAUUUGUCGCGUACAAUGUGGAUUUCCACUGCACUCCAGCUGCAUUUCCCUUUAAACUUGAGCUUGCUUUGAUCUUCAGAUCAGGUUGAGUGCGUCUUCUGCGGAUUCCGUGAAUAGUCUUCAUUUCCAAGCGCAGCGUCAUUGUUCCUUCAAUUUCUGCCGUCUCCUCCCUCCGAAUCAAGGAAAUAAGCCAAACCUGUGGUAUUCUCCAUAAAGCAUAGCACUGUCUACAUAUAUAUAACCUCUUGAUUCUUGGCUGCAGCCUUGUUGGAGAAGGUCAGAGGUUUUUGCGGUGAUUUCUUCCUGCUCAUAUACGACAAACCUGUAAAGGUCUUCAUAAAGCAUACAACCAUCUACAUUUUUAAGCACUUGCUGUUUCCAACACUCUUGUUCGAAGAAAGAGAAAAUCUGGCUUUCAUUUGUUCCUGCUGUGAAUAUUCGGAUUCCUGGCCAUCAUUUUGAUUAGUGAACCACCUAGGAUCAUAAGUGAGUCCAUUCCUCUCCGGGGCUGAUUCAGGAUUUCAUUCUCAUAACACUACGAAAUGGCUCGUUUAACUAACAGGCAGAAGCAUUUAUUGACAUUUAUGAUGUUGUAUUUUCAUUUGAUGGAAGCCCUAAACGCUAUGCUAGUUUUUACGAUGAUUGUCUUGUUGCUGAAGAAUAGGAGUAGACAUAGAGCUAGUGGAACUCAUAGGACU